AAAAAGACAAACCCUGAGUUUCCGUGUCUAACGUUUAACUGUCCGUCUUAUAUGAAUUUUUUUAUAAUUAGUAUUUUCAUUGUUAUUAGAUGAUAAAACAUAAUUAAUACUUUAUGACUUGUCUUUUUAAUUUUUUUAAAAUAAGACGGACGAUCAAACGUUAGACACGAAAAUCUAGAGUU
rnacentral:pre_miRNA from 1 species